CGGGGCGGGCAGCGGCGGGCCCGAGCUCGGCUCCGCUCGGCUCGUGUGCGGCCCCGCCGGGCCCUUGUUCCGCCGAUGGCGGCCGGGCUGGGGCCGUGGCUGCUGGGCUUGGGCUUGGCCUUGGGGCCGGCAGGCGUGUGGGCGCAGCUGAGGCUGGUGGAGGCCGGCGGAGGGCAGCGAGCGCCCGGGGACUCCGUGCUCCUCUCCUGCCGCGGACACGGCUUCGACUUCGGAGUAUACUAUAUGUACUGGUACCGUCAGGCACCCGGCGGCAGGCUGGAGUGGGUGUCCCUUAUCACCUUUGAUUCAUCAGCUAUUCGAUACGGACGGGCAGUGGAUGGUCGAGCCACGGUGUCCCGGGACAAUUCCCGGUCUGAGACAUCUCUGUCUCUAAGUGCCCUGAGCCCACAGGACUCUGCCCGCUACUUCUGUGCAACCUACACGGAGACAGGAAUUGCAUGUGAGCUGUAACAGAAACCUCCUGGCAGCGUCCCAGCACAGGCUGCAGGUGGCUUGGAGACAGUGAAUGCUGAGGUUGCUCGGUACCAUUUGGAAGUAAAGGGAGAGAGGAGCCAUCACU